rnacentral:rRNA from 1 species
UACGUAGGGUGCAGGCGUUAUUCGGAAUUACUGGGCGUAAAGCGUGCGCAGGCGGUUUUGUAAGCCAGAUGUGAAAUCCCCGGGCUUAACCUGGGAAUGGCAUUUGGGACUGCAAGGCUCGAGUGCGGCAGAGGAGACUGGAAUUCCUGGUGUAGCAGUGAAAUGCGUAGAUAUCAGGAGGAACACCGAUGGCGAAGGCAGGUCUCUGGGCUGACACUGACGCUCAUGCACGAAAGCGUGGGGAGCAAACAGG